rnacentral:rRNA from 1 species
GGUUAAGCGACUAAGCGUACACGGUGGAUGCCCGGCAGUCAGAGGCGAUGAAGGGCGUGCUAAUCUGCGAUAAGCGCCGGUAAGGUGAUAUGAACCGUUAUAACCGGCGAUACCCGAAUGGGGAAACCCAGUGUGAUUCGUCACACUAUCAUUAACUGAAUCCAUAGGUUAAUGAGGCGAACCGGGGAACUGAAACAUCUAAGUACCCCGAGGAAAAGAAAUCAACCGAGAUUCCCCAGUAGCGGCGAGCGAACGGGGAGGAGCCCAGAGCCUGAAUCAGCAUGUGUGUUAGUGGAAGCGUCUGGAAAGGCGCGCGAUACAGGGUGACAGCCCCGUACACAAAAGCGCAUGUGCUGUGAGCUCGAUGAGUAGGGCGGGACACGUGGUAUCCUGUCUGAAUAUGGGGGACCAUCCUCCAAGGCUAAAUACUCCUGACUGACCGAUAGUGAACCAGUACCGUGAGGGAAAGGCGAAAAGAACCCCGGCGAGGGAGUGAAAAAGAACCUGAAACCGUGUACGUACAAGCAGUGGGAGCCCCACCACUAAGCCAGUGGUGAACUCCACAUACGCAUCCUUUGCUGAGGAUACGGUUAACGGAGCGAAAGCGACGUUCAACCUCAAAAGAAGCAGAGGGGGCUUAGUGGUGGGGUGACUGCGUACCUUUUGUAUAAUGGGUCAGCGACUUAUAUUCUGUAGCAAGGUUAACCGUAUAGGGAGCCGGAGGAAACCGAGUCUUAAUUGGGCGUUAAGUUGCAGGGUAUAGACCCGAAACCCGGUGAUCUAGCCAUGGGCAGGUUGAAGGUUGGGUAACACUAACUGGAGGACCGAACCGACUAAUGUUGAAAAAUUAGCGGAUGACCUGUGGCUGGGGUGAAAGGCCAAUCAAACCGGGAGAUAGCUGGUUCUCCCGAAAGCUAUUUAGGUAGCGCCUCGUGAAUUCAUCUCCGGGGUAGAGCACUGUUUCGGCUAGGGGCCAUCCCGGCUUACCAACCCGAUGCAAACUGCGAAUACCGGAGAAUGUUAUCACGGGAGACACACGGCGGGUGCUAACGUCCGUCGUGAAGAGGGAAACAACCCAGACCGCCAGCUAAGGUCCCAAAGUCAUGGUUAAGUGGGAAACGAUGUGGGAAGGCCCAGACAGCCGGAUGUUGGCUUAGAAGCAGCCAUCAUUUAAAGAAAGCGUAAUAGCUCACUGGUCGAGUCGGCCUGCGCGGAAGAUGUAACGGGGCUAAACCAUGCACCGAAGCUGCGGCAGCGACGCUGAUGCGUUGUUGGGUAGGGGAGCGUUCUGUAAGCCUGUGAAGGUGGCCUGUGAGGGUUGCUGGAGGUAUCAGAAGUGCGAAUGCUGACAUAAGUAACGAUAAAGCGGGUGAAAAGCCCGCUCGCCGGAAGACCAAGGGUUCCUGUCCAACGUUAAUCGGGGCAGGGUGAGUCGACCCUAAGGCGAGGCCGAAAGGCGUAGUCGAUGGGAAACGGGUUAAUAUUCCCGUACUUGGUGUUACUGCGAAGGGGGACGGAGAAGGCUAUGUUGGCCGGGCGACGGUUGUCCCGGUUUAAGCGUGUAGGUGUGUGUUCGUAAAUCCGGUUCACUUUAACACUGAGGCGUGACGACGAGGCACUACGGUGCUGAAGCAACAAAUGCCCUGCUUCCGGAAAAGCCUCUAAGCAUCAGGUAACAUCAAAUCGUACCCCAAACCGACACAGGUGGUCAGGUAGAGAAUACCAAGGCGCUUGAGAGAACUCGGGUGAAGGAACUAGGCAAAAUGGUGCCGUAACUUCGGGAGAAGGCACGCUGACACGUAGGUGAAGUGAUUUACUCAUGGAGCUGAAGUCAGUCGAAGAUACCAGCUGGCUGCAACUGUUUAUUAAAAACACAGCACUGUGCAAACACGAAAGUGGACGUAUACGGUGUGACGCCUGCCCGGUGCCGGAAGGUUAAUUGAUGGGGUCAGCGCAAGCGAAGCUCCUGAUCGAAGCCCCGGUAAACGGCGGCCGUAACUAUAACGGUCCUAAGGUAGCGAAAUUCCUUGUCGGGUAAGUUCCGACCUGCACGAAUGGCGUAAUGAUGGCGCUGUCUCCACCCGAGACUCAGUGAAAUUGAACUCGCUGUGAAGAUGCAGUGUACCCGCGGCAAGACGGAAAGACCCCGUGAACCUUUACUAUAGCUUGACACUGAACAUUGAGCCUUGAUGUGUAGGAUAGGUGGGAGGCUUUGAAGUGUGGACGCCAGUCUGCAUGGAGCCGACCUUGAAAUACCACCCUUUAAUGUUUGAUGUUCUAACGUGGACCCGUGAUCCGGGUUGCGGACAGUGUCUGGUGGGUAGUUUGACUGGGGCGGUCUCCUCCUAAAGAGUAACGGAGGAGCACGAAGGUUGGCUAAUCUGGUCGGACAUCAGGAGGUUAGUGCAAUGGCAUAAGCCAGCUUGACUGCGAGCGUGACGGCGCGAGCAGGUGCGAAAGCAGGUCAUAGUGAUCCGGUGGUUCUGAAUGGAAGGGCCAUCGCUCAACGGAUAAAAGGUACUCCGGGGAUAACAGGCUGAUACCGCCCAAGAGUUCAUAUCGACGGCGGUGUUUGGCACCUCGAUGUCGGCUCAUCACAUCAUCGGGGCUGAAGUAGGUCCCAAGGGUAUGGCUGUUCGCCAUUUAAAGUGGUACGCGAGCUGGGUUUAGAACGUCGUGAGACAGUUCGGUCCCUAUCUCGCCGUGGGCGCUGGAGAACUGAGGGGGCUGCUCCUAGUACGAGAGGACCGGAGUGGACGCAUCACUGGUGUUCGGGUUGUCAUGCCAAUGGCACUGCCCGGUAGCUAAAUGCGGAAGAGAUAAGUGCUGAAAGCAUCUAAGCACGAAACUUGCCCCGAGAUGAGUUCUCCUGAGACUUAGAGUCUCCUGAAGGAACGUUGAAGACGACGACGUUGAUAGGCCGGGUGUGUAAGCGCAGCGAUGCGUUGAGCUAACCGGUACUAAUGAACCGUGAGGCUUAACCUU